ACAGCUGUGAAAAUAAAACAACAAGGGAAACCGUGCAAGACUUUUAAGAACCUCUACUAUUUCUUUUUUUGAAGGAACUAACACUGUUGUCAUUUACUGGGAUUAAUAAAGGGCUCAGUUCCUUUAAAAAAAAAUUUUUUUUUUUCAAAUAAAGCUGGAUACCGCCGUGUUCACAAAUAAUUUCACUUUCUUUGCUUCGCUGACAGCCUGUCAUCACUUGAACAUUCGCAAGAUGGCUAAUUUAAAUAAACAGAGGUAAUCACAAUUUACUAAAACUUACUUUAAAAUUUUAGAUUCUGAGUUGGAAAGAGAGGAGAUGGCAAAAAAAUCCCUCCAUGGUGCCCCCCAAGCGCUUAAAUACCGCCAUGACAAGGAACUCAAAAUCCCCACGACCGCCCAUGUCAUUGGAGGCAGUCAAUGUGCCCAAGUCCUCCUGCUCCAAACUGUUAGAAAUUAUACUGUUUCAUGUGAUCACACGUGGUAACGUGUGUGGAAGUUCAUAGACCGAUAGCCUAUGAACUACAUAGAAAGCUCCGUAAAUGUUUUUCCACAGGAUUCCUUUCUCUCUCUUAACUGCCACCCACCAGUUGUGAUUCUUCUGCUCACAGUGGCCACAGAUUACGUGAUGCUCUUCACCCCUCCAACUAACCCCCCCCAAAAUACAAUAGGUCUUGUCCUCUCCAGCUCCUUUAUUUGAUGCUCAAAGGCCCAUUUUCAGACGUGCAUACCGUUCCCUCCACUGUCCUGUAAAUGGCCCCUUUCUCUGCGGCCCUCAUAAAGCACAGUGGCCACAAGUCAAGGAAUCUCCAAGAGUGACUUUCACUCUCCUCAAUCUCUCAACGUUUUAUCAAUACAGCCUUAGGAUUUACCCCAACCCGGCAGAUUCCCUUUGUCCAAGCCAAGGCUUGUCUGAGCAACACUCAGCUAAAGGCUCAGUGAUUUGGGGACUAUCCACAGUAUUCUCUGAAUCCCAUUAGACGCUUAAAAGGCACGUAAGAAGUUUGAGGACGCUGCAAAACUGAAAUCCUAUGUUGUAACAUCAGUACCUUUGCAUUAACAAAUAUCUUCCCGUUUUUCUCCUCAGACUCAUUCAAAACAAAAGAGAUAGUGGUCGUAUACAUAAUUGCUUAAAUCCCCAAAAGAUGAAAUUCUGCUUCUUAAAAAGAUUUCUGUGUUACCUCGGUUGUUUAUUUAUUUAGCUAUUGUUUUAUUUUGUUCUCUCUCUCUUUUUUUUUUUUUUUUUUGUUUUUGCAAGAAAGGAUCUACUGCCAGAUCAUUUUCUGGUUCGUGUUUGACAAGAGCAGUGCAGUCAAUUCCCACAAAGCCUAUCCUGCACAAGGAAGGAGAUCCCAUAAUGCCGACAUUAUCGCUGAUAUAAUGCUUGAGACAACAGCACGAAGAAACAUCUGGCUUGGUCACAUCCAUACAGAAAGGUUCUCAUCUAUCUGAAACCAGCUAUCAAGUCUCCCUGAAAGAAUUCCUCUUCAGGCUAGACAUCCUGGAUCCUUCAAGUACAUUUUCCCUGUCAUCAUCAAGACCCUUAUAAGCCUUGCCACGGUCCUCUAUAUGUAAGGUCAAACCAAGGUGCCAUUUCACAUGGUCUGGCAAAGACAGAAUAGAAUGGGGCUCUCAGCCCCCAAAUUGAGGGCACCUUAUUUCUGGUAAUGCAGCCCCAUAGCACGUUGGCCAUUUUUGGCUGUCUGAUUAAACACGGGGGUUUUAGUCUCCGUACAAUUAAAGGAAACUGCUAAAUCUCUUGUA